rnacentral:rRNA from 1 species
GACGAACGCUGGCGGCGUGCUUAACACAUGCAAGUCGAACGGUAAGGCCCUUCGGGGUACACGAGUGGCGAACGGGUGAGUAACACGUGGGUGCUCUGCCCUGCACUUCGGGAUAAGCCUGGGAAACUGGGUCUCAUACCGGAUAGGACCACUGCCUGCAUGGGUGGUGGUGGAAAGCUUUUGCGGUGUGGGAUGGGCCCGCGGCCUAUCAGCUUGUUGGUGGGGUGAUGGCCUACCAAGGCGACGACGGGUAGCCGGCCUGAGAGGGUGACCGGCCACACUGGGACUGAGAUACGGCCCAGACUCCUACGGGAGGCAGCAGUGGGGAAUAUUGCACAAUGGGCGCAAGCCUGAUGCAGCGACGCCGCGUGAGGGAUGACGGCCUUCGGGUUGUAAACCUCUUUCAGCACCGACGAAGCGCAAGUGACGGUAGGUGCAGAAGAAGGACCGGCCAACUACGUGCCAGCCGCCGCUGUAA